AUCCACUAAGGAGAUGCGCGCCUGGUAUACAUACCUUACUCGGAAGAGAACAAGAACAUGUCCAAGAAAUCUGAGAGUAGAUUAGUUCCUUCCAUAAAUUAAAACAUAAGACGGUCCUCCCAAUUGAAUUCCCUCACUCAUUAGCUACAUACUUCCAUCUCUCCCACUAUUACUGUAACGGCAAUGCACACAAAUGCCCUUCCAGUCUUGUAGCGCCCCCGAUCUAUCGAAUCGAAGACAUCAAAACGAUCAUGGACAGUGAGUGUUCUGCUCAAAUUAUAUCUUCAUCAUAAUUUACUUGUCAUGAGCCAUCCGUCUCCUCUAUAUAUACAGUAUUUUCCUUCGUUGAAACAGGC
rnacentral:sRNA from 1 species